rnacentral:rRNA from 1 species
UACGAAGGGGGCUAGCGUUGUUCGGAUUUACUGGGCGUAAAGCGCACGUAGGCGGAUCUUUAAGUCAGAGGUGAAAUCCCAAGGCUCAACCUUGGAACUGCCUUUGAUACUGGGGAUCUCGAGUUCGGGAGAGGUGAGUGGAACUGCGAGUGUAGAGGUGAAAUUCGUAGAUAUUCGCAAGAACACCAGUGGCGAAGGCGGCUCACUGGCCCGAUACUGACGCUGAGGUGCGAAAGCGUGGGGAGCGAACAGG